rnacentral:rRNA from 1 species
CGGUGGAGCAUGUGGUUUAAUUCGAAGCAACGCGAAGAACUUACCAGGUCUUGACAUCCCUGACAACCCGAGAGAUCGGGCGUUCCCUUCGGGGGACGAGGGUGACAGGUGGUGCAUGGUUGUCGUCAGCUCGUGUCGUGAGAUGUUGGGUUAAGUCCCGCAACGAGCGCAACCCUACCGUUUAGUUUGCUAACGCGUGAAGGCGAGCACUCUAGACGAACUGCCGUUGACAAAACGGAGGAAGGUGGGGAUGACGUCAAAUCAUCAUGCCCCUUAUGUUCUGGGCUACACACGUGCUACAAUGGCCGGUACAGACGGACGCAAAGCCGCGAGGUGGAGCAAAUCCUAAAAAGACCGGUCUCAGUUCGGAUUGCAGGCUGCAAUUCGCCUGCAUGAAGUCGGAAUCGCUAGUAAUCGCAGGUCAGCAUACUGCGGUGAAUACGUUCCCGGGCCUU